AAUCAACGCUGGCGGCGCGCUUAACACAUGCAAGUCGAACGAGAAAGGGAGCAAUCCCUGAGUACAGUGGCGUACGGGUGAGUAACACGUGGGUGAUCUGCCUUUUUAGUGGGGAAUAUCUCUGGGAAACCGGAGUUAAUACCGCAUAAAGCUCGGAAGAGGAAAGCCGAAAGGCGCUGAGAGAGGAGCCCGCGGCCGAUUAGCUAGUUGGNGGGUAAAGGCUCACCAAGGCANAGAUCGGUAGCCGGCCUGAGAGGGCACACGGCCACACUGGCACUGAAACACGGGCCAGACUCCUACGGGAGGCAGC
rnacentral:rRNA from 1 species